GGAUCAGAAGACAGAGCAGCCACAUCCUGAAAAUAGGGAAAUGUUCUUUUUCAUUUUCUAAUGGCUGAAGAUCCUGAGGAGAGAAGACAGAUGUGUCCUGGGGAGCUAUGAGGGGAAGUGAAGGACUGUGGUGACAUGUGGCAGUUAUCAGUAUACCUGAGGACCCCAGAACAUGCAAUGGUCCCCACUAUAUGUUCUUGCAUGUUUUCUGAGCUGAGGUUGGAGCUGUGUGGAGAUGCUGCAUAGAGGGAUCAAUUGGAGUCCUUAUGUAGGGCCAAGAGAGUCAGCUACAUUCUGGAGAAGUUUAUUCAGCUUGAAGUCAUGUGUGAAAGCUGGCAGGAGAGUAGUCAGAUUUCGAACAAUAAGGGAGUGAGCAGGAGGGAAGGACAGAUGCUAAAGCUUAGAGUCAGGUGUGGUUCUGUGUCUGCAGAGAAUGACAAGACCAUAGCAGAGGUAGCAGAGAAGGCUAGUCACAACCACAAGGGAAGUGCUGUUGGCAGAGGUAUGGGCAGUGCCAAGGGAAAUGAAUAUGAAAGGAAGCUCAGAGUUGUGAAGCCUGAGGUGACAGGCACAGGACAAGGAAGCCACAGACAUCAAAGCCCGAGCCAAGGCUAUGCUCAUCUGUGGAUCCUUGGCCAACUUCCAGGGGAAAUAGAAGGAGAAGGGGAUGUCGAUGGAGCCACCCUGGACUCCAGAGCAGCGUUCAGACUGCUGAGAAGGAUCUGGAGUGAAUUCAGAACUCUUCAGCUGGGGAACAGUGGUAAUGAAGUGUUCCUGCAAAACAGACUGCUGAGAAGGAUCUGACUGUGUGGAUUCAGAACUCUUCAGCUGAGGAACGGUGGUACCGGAUCACCAACAACAGCUGUGGGUCCCAGAACGGCUGACCAGAGCAAUUCAAAACAAGCAGAACUAUGAGGACAUGGAUGUUCCUGUGGCUGAGAAUGCUCCCGCUAGUGAGAACUGAAGAGCUCUGUGUUCCUGAAACCAUGCCGUUUACACAUUCGGGUGUUUCCUCAAUUCUUUACAUCUAAUGCCAGAUUUUAAGCCUUAAUGGAACUCGAAUAGAACCCAUCAUUGUUGGCAAUUUUACCUCUUGGCUUACCUCUGCUUUAUCUUACUUUAAGGAAUGGGUAGGAGUGAUUUUGUUUGGUGCUGCCAUAUGCUGUGGACUGGUGUUCAUGCUUUGGUUGGUAUGCAAAUUCAGAACCCAACAAAAAUGUGACAAGGUGAUUAAACUCAGGCACUUUUAGCUAUUGAAAACGGCGCCUCCCCUGAAGUUUGGUUAUCUAUGCUCAAGAAUUAGUUGGCAUCUGAGCUCUCUGCUCUGGCACCCCACGGAUUUAUGGAUCCAUUGCACUGGGAUGAGAGAGACUCAACAAUCAUUGAUCAGCCCUUGCACAUUGCUGAGGUUUCCUCAUUGCACGCGAUAGGGUGAUCAUGAUUUCCCCACUAAUUCAUUUUUUGGCUGGCCUCUUUUGUAGAGUUCGCCCUAGGUCAUUUAGCAGUUAUUGUCACACAGCACUGUGGUAUCCAGAGACAGGCAACUUUCCUCAUGCACAGACCAACCUAAGACACAGGGCUCGGUGGCGAUAGGGUUACCCUAUGACGGGUAAGGCUGUGACAUUAGAGGAAUGACCUAAAACAGGAGCCACGGCGGAUGGACAUAAUUGCACAGGCCUAGUCCAGCCUUAUUUUAUUAAAACAAAAAGGGGGAGAUGUGGGAAGCCACAUGUGCAAUUGCAGGGUGGCGCUGGCUUCCACUGGCUACCAUGCAUACAUAGGCUGUAAAGUUUUUUUGCCAAGAUGAGGUUUUGAGAAUUAACCAAAAUUAACCAAUCAGAUGAGAGACAAGUUAACCAAUCAGAUGAGAGAGAAGUUAACCAAUCAGAUGUAGGCAUGCAAAUGAUGUGGUAAGCAUAACCCAAGCACAACCAAUCCAGGUGUGAGACACGCUUCUCCUAGGCCUAUAUAAGCAGCACCAGUUCUGGGCUUGGGGUCUCUUUGCCUCCGCAAUCAAGCUCUCCCAAUAAAUGUGUGCAGAAGGAUCCUGCUGCAGCGUCGACCUUGCUGGCAAGUCGGGCACACGCAAGAAGUAAGCACUCCACCACAUGAACCACAUUCUUAGCUGCAGUUAGAUCUGUGAGGUUGUAGUCCUGAUCAUGAGUCUUCACCUCCAGAUUUCAUCUGCCUUUCCCCUCUUCUCUGGGGCCUCUGGGGAAUGGUGACUCAAUUGCUAACUCACCCAAGAAGGGGCUGGACCUGACAAGACUGCUAUAUGUCAUGUACUGGACAGUAGCAGUUUUCCACAACAGGUUCUGGUGAGUUCUACAGGAGCUCAGCUGCCCCUUGUGCCCUGCUCCACUGCUGCCUCUGCUGGCUUCUUAAUUCCAAGUCAUGGGCUCUGUUCUAGUCAUGUUUUGGACUCAGUUGAAUUCCUAUGUGGAAUUCAAAUAUCCCUCAGAUAAGGCAUACUGCAGACUCUGUGGGCCCUGACCCAGCAAAUAACCUCAUGGAUAAAAAGUAUCCCUCUCUUCUCCAUUUCUGCCACACCACUUACCUAUACAUUCCUUGAUUCCUCUUCCCUAGUGACAGCACACAGACCCCAGAUGGAAUCCUAAAUACCCCACCCAGACUGGGACUUGGGGAGAGUGGAGGGGAUGCUAGAGAGUGUGGUGGACAGAUUGUAGAUGGUAGCGCUGACAGGGUGCCCAGGCCAGAGUUGCAGCUUUACAAGAGCACAGUUGCCCUGCUGACAUCUGACCUCAUGUUUCUCCCCUAGGAUGACAUCAUCCUAUUCACCUCCCUCAUCUGCUUCCUACCUCAGCAUGAGCACACACUGCACCCCUGCCCUGGGAAGUCCCAGGAAGAGACUCUGUACUGUGUUCUAAUGGCCCAGUGAGUGAGAUUAGGGGACCAGCUCAGUCUCCUCUGGUAUGAGGUCUGCCAACUCCUGCUGAGAGGCAAGAACAGACAUAUUUAUUAAUGUUUCAUCAAGUUUAUGGUCACAGAAAUAAAGAAAUUCCCCACCUCCCUACUCAGUAUUAGUUAUGUAGCUUAAAACAAAACAUUCCCAAACCCAAAACCUAAAAACUAUUAGUAAACUGGGCAUGACGGUCAGGACUUCAUCCCAUUGUGUAAGAUGCAGCAGCAGGGGUAGUGCAGAAUUUGAGGCCAGCCUUGAUCUACAUAACCUGUUCCAGAACAGACAGAUGUAGAUAGUAGAGAGUCAGAACUAUAUAGUAGAGAGACCCCUUUCUCCAAAACAGAAACACACAUCAAACAGUAAUCAACCAAACAACAAAAACACUAAACUAUCAACACCCACAAUUUUUUAUGUGAAUCUGAAGAGGAAACUGGUAUCAUCUUCAAGUUCCACAUCCCCAACAGAAAGGGAAGCAACAGAUGACCUUUCUCCCUGACCUCUCCAUACUGUUUGGAGUUUUGCUUAGCUUUGCUGUUGGUUUCAAGACAAAGUCUCAUGUAACCCAGGCUGGCUUCAAACUCAAGAGGUAAUAAGAAUAGCUCCCCUUUCAGUGGUUCUCAAGCUUCGUAAUGCUGGAACAUUUUCUCAUAUUGGGGUAAUCCCAACCAUAAAAUUGUUUCAUUGGUAUUUCAUGACUGUGAUUUUGCUAUUGUUGUGAUGGUGAUAUAAACAUCUGAUAUGCAGGAUACCAGAUAUGUGGCUCCUGUAAAAAUGUUGUUCUACUCUCAAAGAGGUGGUGACCCACGGGUUGAGAACCAGUGCUCCAACUGCUACUCUUCCCAUCAGUACCUGUCAACCAUUGGGAGGGCAGGCACGUUAUGAUGCUCAAUUUCCUCUGGUACUUUGUCUUACUGAUCAGCUCAGUCUAUGGAACACAUAUUGCAAACCCUGGUAGCCAAGGAGGAAGCCAAGGUCUGCUCUGCACUUGGAUCAUAAUGUUCCCUAUUGGUAGAUCAGAGACACAUCUCCUAAGUCUAUCAACCUGGGGGUAAGUACCUAUGUGAUGUUGAGAAUGGAGGGUCUUUGUAAGUUUUUGCUAUGGGUUUAAGGGGUUUCCCCCUUUAGAACAAGGGAAAGAUUCUGGGAAUUGACAUCAUCAUUUGAGCAACUGCAUUAAGGCCCCUUCUCUGUGGGCAGAUGCCUGUGGCAGAGACCUGACAAAUAGACUUCACAAACCACCAUCAUGGCAUCCUACUGUGUGAACCCUUCAGGGAUACUCAGAGGAAACACCACCCCAGGUCCCAAGAUCAUCGUGCCCACGAGGGCUGCUGAGUUAAUCUUCAGGAGGCUUGGAUGCAGUCACAGCCACAGCAGACACCUCACAGCUGCUCCAGGACACUUCACUUUAGUCACAGGAAACCUUAGUGACAUCUCCAUAACUCCAAUUAUCUCCGGCUGGUCUCAUGGGAUUGGACAUCAUUUCCCAAUGCCUCAGCAAAGGCCCAUGCAUGACACUCAUUUGAGGCUUGUGAUUGGUGGACUGGAGCUGCAUCUGUGCAUCAUUGCAUCUAUGGCUCACUGUGGUUGGUAGAUCCCUAUCAAAUAUGGCCCUGUCCUUCUCGCUACAACAGAAGCCAGCUUUCUUUCUUACUUGGUCAGUCUGGAUGGUUUCCUGUUUCCCCAUAAGCUUUCUGUUAGAAGAUGACCAGCUGACUAUUAAAUGUUAAGACAGACUUGACAUGGGAUAGAAGUUUUUUUCCUAAGAAAGACCAAAACGGCCAGAAUAUCAACACGGCAGAAAAU